rnacentral:tRNA from 1 species
CGGAGCGUAGUAUAGUGGUAGUACGCAUGCAUGGGGUGUAUGUAGUCCGAGUUCGAUUCUCGGCGCUCCGA